AUUGAACGCUGGCGGCAGGCCUAACACAUGCAAGUCGAACGAGUGGCGGACGGGUGAGUAAUGUCUGGGAACCUGCCCGAUGGCGGGGGAUAACUACUGAAAACAGUGGCUAAUACAGCAUACCAUCGGAUGUGCCCCGAUGGGAUUAGCUAGUAGGUGGGGUAAAGGCUCACCAAGGCGACGAUCCCUAGCUGGUCUGAGAGGAUGACCAGCAACACUGGAACUGAGACACGGUCCAGACUCCUACGGGAGGCAGCAGUGGGGAAUAUUGCACAAUGGGCGCAAGCCUGAGGCAGCCAUGCCGCGUGUAUGAAGAAGGCCUUCGGGUGGUAAAGUACUUUCAGCGAGGAGGCGUUACUCGCAGAAGAAGCACCGGCUAACUCCGUGCCAGCAGCCGCGGUAAUAC
rnacentral:rRNA from 1 species